GCGCGGCGUUGGGCGCGGCUGGGGAGCUGUGCUUCUGAGAGACCCAGUCCAGAAGGCAGCUCCUACAGCAGUUCUUCCUACCCAGCCGGCCACACUUCCACUGUGCUGUCACAUGCUCUGUCUUGCCUCCACUGACACACAUCACCUGGAUGACAGGUACUUGUUUGUAUGAGUGUGUGGGAGGCAUGUCAUAAGUGUGUAUCCUCUGGUGGGUGAGGCAGGGACUCUGCCUCAGAAAACUCUGGGAUCUCAGAGCUGAAUGAAAGAAUAAAUUCCUUCUCCUCUUCAGGCCAAAAAGAGCCCCAUCAUCUCUCCUAUCAUUCUUCAAGACAGAAAGAAAUGAUUGAACAGAAUUUAU
rnacentral:lncRNA from 10 species